UACCAGCACCCCGAGUGGUCGGGACGAUUAUUGGGCCUAAAGCAUCCGUAGCCGGUCAUGCAAGUCUUCCGUUAAAUCCAGCCGCUCAACGGUUGGGCUGCGGAGGAUACUACGUGGCUAGGAGGCGGGAGAGGCAAGCGGUACUCAGUGGGUAGGGGUAAAAUCCUUUGAUCCAUUGAAGACCACCAGUGGCGAAGGCGGCUUGCCAGAACGCGCUCGACGGUGAGGGAUGAAAGCUGGGGG
rnacentral:rRNA from 1 species